GUGGUGCAGGUUGGGUCAGGGUGGAUCGGGGUGGUGCUGGUUGGGCCAGGGUAAUGUGGUGCGAGUUGGGUCAGGGUGGUGUGGGUUGGGUCAGGGUGGGGUAAGGUGGUGCUGGUUGGGUCAGGGUGGGGUCGGGUGGUGCUGGUUGGGUUAGGGUGGGGUAAGAUGAUGUAGGUCGGGUCAGGGUGGGGUAAGGUGGUGUGGGUUGUGUCAGGGUGGUGUAAGGUGGUGUGGGUUGUGUCAGGGUGGGGUAAGGUGGUGUGGGUUGUGUCAGGGUGGGGUAAGGUGGUGUGGGUCGGGUCAGGGUGGAUCGGGGUGGUGCUGGUUGGGUCAGGGUGGAUCGGGGUGGUGCUGGUUGGGUCAGGGUGGAUCGGGGUGGUGCUGGUCGUGUCAGGGUGGGGUAAGGUGGUGUGGGUCGGGUCAGGGUGGAUCGGGGUGGUGCUGGUCGUGUCAGGGUGGGGUAAGGUGGUGUGGGUCGGGUCAGGGUGGAUCGGGGUGGUGCUGGUCGUGUCAGGGUGGGGUAAGGUGGUGUGGGUCGGGUCAGGGUGGAUCGGGGUGGUGCUGGUUGGGUCAGGGUGGAUCGGGGUGGUGCUGGUUGGGUCAGGGUGGAUCGGGGUGGUGCUGGUCGUGUCAGGGUGGGGUAAGGUGGUGUGGGUCGGGUCAGGGGUCACACUUACACUUUGCGAUCGUUCAGCAGCAUGCCGU